rnacentral:rRNA from 1 species
UACGUAGGGGGCUAGCGUUGUCCGGAAUCAUUGGGCGUAAAGCGCGCGUAGGCGGCAUGGCAAGUCGGGAGUGAAAGGCCUGGGCUCAACCGAGGAACUGCUUUCGAGACUGCCAAGCUAGAGUGCGGAAGGGGCAUCUGGAAUUCCCAGUGUAGCGGUGAAAUGCGUAGAUAUUGGGAAGAACACCUGAGGCGAAGGCGGGAUGCUGGGCCGACACUGACGCUGAGGCGCGAAAGCCAGGGGAGCAAACGGG